UUAACGGAUAAUAAGACAAUGACUGAACGUUGAACGGCUAAUGCUUCGUUAAUCCCAUCCUCUGACGGUAUCCUACCGAUAUUCUCAGCGAACUGAACUUGAAAUCGUAAUAUCUACAAUUAUGGCAGAUAGAUUGCCUCUUGGUAUGUUGUAUUCUGCAUUAGUGCAGAUAAGAUAAAAUGAGCGAGCCGAGAUAAAGGUAGGAAUAUUGAGUCAAUAUUGACGUUUGAAAGACAAAGCCGGAAGUUGAAAUAAUUUGAAGCGGUAGUUUAUGCGAAAUUGUAUUCUUGGAAAUUCUACGGAUUCUACGAUGGAUCUACAGGCUCAAUGUUGACCUUACUCGGUCGUCACAAAGCAACCGGAGCAGCGUUCGCGUGCACUUAUUGUACUUUCGUGGCUAUAAUUCAACGUUUGUGAGCCCGCAUUGAAACACGCGGCGGUCGUAUGUCCUACCAAGGCUAAUUCCCGGAAUUGGUGCAAGACUUGCCGGCAACGCGCGUAAAGUUUUCUCUUUCGCGUGUCCUUACAUACUAAUUCAUCGAUCUGCAUUUUUACAUGGCUUUCAGUAUACUGGAAGUUUCUCGUUAACGCUUCGCUGACCGCAGAACGACAAAUGCUCGCCCUUAUCAGUUUUAUCUCGUGAAAAGGUGUAAUAUUACGUCAAUGGUUACCAGCUACGAGGAACAAAAAGACGCUCUACUACGUCAACAAUCGCAAAAA